rnacentral:rRNA from 1 species
GCGUGCAGGAUGAAGGCCUUCGGGUUGUAAACUGCUUUUGUACGGAACGAAAAGUUUGGCUUAAUACGUUGAACUCAUGACGGUACCGUAAGAAUAAGCACCGGCUAACUACGUGCCAGCAGCCGCGGUAAUACGUAGGGUGCGAGCGUUAAUCGGAAUUACUGGGCGUAAAGCGUGCGCAGGCGGUUAUGUAAGACAGAUGCGAAAUCCCCGGGCUCAACCUGGGAACUGCAUUAGUGACUGCAUAGCUGGAGUACGGCAGAGGGGGAUGGAAUUCCGCGUGUAGCAGUGAAAUGCGUAGAUAUGCGGAGGAACACCGAUGGCGAAGGCAAUCCCCUGGGCCUGUACUGACACUCAUGCACGAAAGCGUGGGGAGCAAACAGGAUUAGAUACCCUGGUAGUCCACGCCCUAAACGAUGUCAACUGGUUGUUGGGUCUUCACUGACUCAGUAACGAAGCUAACGCGUGAAGUUGACCGCCUGGGGAGUACGGCCGCAA